UGCGUACAAAAACUGAUCGUCGGCUUGUAAAUCAGGAAUGUCUUCGACAGUUGGCAUGGAGGAUACAGUCAUAACAAUGAGAGCCAAAAGAAGAAUGAUCUACAAAAACAUUUAAACAUGUACUCUUUGUGCACGAGACUUACUUUGAAAUGCAUGAUGUGAGAGGAGAAGAAGAGAUGCCAGUUGCAAAAGAACUGUGAAUUUGCUUCAGAAUUGCUAGGCUUUUUAUACAGCCAAACAAAAUUGCGGGAAGAGCCCGGAAGAACUUAACCUUCACCAAAGUCAAAGUCAUCUCCCGCGAGCGAAGGAGGAACAUACCGCAAGAGGAAAGCGAAAACAAAGGAAACCACGAUCUUCGUGAGCCGAAAAAUAAAAAAAAAAAAAAAAAAGGGAUGAGUGAUAUUUUGGAAUUUCACAAAGGCACGAAACUUUGAACAGUCUUAUUACGGAUGUCUUUGAAAAUGCGCCUCGUGUCGUGAAUCUUCGACUACCUGUUAGCCGAAUGUAAUUUGAUGACACUUCUUUUCCGACAGACCACAAAGCCAGCCUGUUUGCGCGGUUAAUUUAUGAGCAUUAAUAUAUUCUCUUUCUUUGCUUCAUUUUAGCCGGAGGAUACUAUCAGCAAUGCCAUGGUUGUACCAUAAAUUUAUUAUAUUUGGCAGUUCAAGGAAAGUCAACUAUUUUUGAAAAAAGGUAAACGAAUGGUGUUUGCUUUUCGUAUACUGUAUUGUUCGGUUAUAAAUAAUACAUUACAGACCCAAGUAGGCUAUAUAUGAGACGCGUACAGAGUAGCUUCACGCAACAUAUCUGAAGCCUUUAAUUAUCUAACUGUUUGAGGAAAUUGUCGGAGCCAUCCGACUGUGGAUAAUCAGUAAAUGGUAGAAGAAAUUCUGGCCAGUGCAAGAACAGAUGCAUAGGAUGCCCAUUUGCAGAAUUACGUAGCAGUUCAGAAGUAAUUAGCCCUGGCCAAAAAGAAAUGGUAAAAAACGAUUUAAUUUUAAUAGAAUUUAAUUUGUAUUUUACCUUGUCAAGAUACGCGCGGUUCAUCCUAGCGGAAUUAUAUAGCGCAAAUUUUGAAAAGAUUAAAUGUAGCGGGUGUAAUUCUGCAGAGCAAUCUGUAAAAAGAGAAAAUCAAACUAAAGGUAAGAAAAUUUAAUGAAAGAAAAUGUAUUCUUGUUUACCUGUUGGCAGCCCGUUCGCCUGCAGUCACGAAGAGCUAGAACGAACUGCAAUAGCUCCCCAGGAAUUCCAUUCGUUAAAUACCGACGACACCAACUUCGGAAACCAGGAUAAAACUGCACGCUAGCAUGAUUGUUAUGCUUUACUAAUUUGGCAAGAUGUUUCGUGUUAAAAAUUGAAUUUUUAAAAACCACAUCGUCAUCUUCUUCCCGGUGAGGAUAACUAUCAGUGUACGCGGGAAAUAAUAAUUCUCACGAAUCUUUCGUCAGUCACGCGGUCACGCUAGCAUAGUAAUAAAAAGAAUCAAGGACUCGUCUAGAGCUUUCCAAGUUCAAGUUCUUGGCAACGAAUAACAGCGAAAAAAAAAAUAAGGUACGACAAAAAUAAAACAAAACAAUAAUAAUAGCUUCAUACAAAAAAAAAGGAAAAAGAAAAAAGUUCUUUGUGGGAAUUUAUUCAUACUAUCGGCUUAGAGGGCACCUUGAAAGUCCUUUUGGCUGUUCCCUAUCUAUGGUGGUUAUUCAUCAGACCUUUCCCAUGGCGUUUGAAUAACAACGGAACGCUUUCCCUGUUACUUUUCAGGGGACCAAAACAAAGAAAUGGGUGCACGUGGAUAUGAGAGAACACCAACAAAUUUGCCCGACUUAUGAAUUGUAGAUAAUUUCAAAAAGUGCAUUUGUUUUAAUGGAAACGUCAGCUGGAAAUCUAAUGCCUGCAGUUAUAGCAUGUCGCUCACGGUGAAUUGCUAAAAAAAAAAACGAUUAUAUAAACAAAAUGAAAACUGGUUUUUCACUUUCACUUAAAGACUAACCGUCUGAACGCUAUAUUUAGUAUGCAGGUGCGCAAAAGUUUUCUAUUGGUGAUUCAAGACGAUGAAUGACAUUCAGCUAGCAAACCUUAUUUGUGAUUACAUUGAUUGAUGUAAAUUAGCAUUGGUUCAAACCUUUUGUCUUGAACUUAAUUUCAAUGAGUAAAAUGCAAAAACAUUGU